GGGGAAUAUUGGGCAAUGGGCGAAAGCCUGACCCAGCGACGCCGCGUGAAGGAUGAAGGUCUUCGGAUUGUAAACUUCUUUGAUCAGGGAAGAAAGAAAUGACGGUACCUGAAAAACAAGCCACGGCUAACUACGUGCCAGCAGCCGCGGUAAUACGUAGGUGGCAAGCGUUGUCCGGAUUUACUGGGUGUAAAGGGCGUGUAGGCGGGGAUGCAAGUCAGAUGUGAAAUCCCGCGGCUCAACCGCGGAACUGCAUCUGAAACUGCGUCUCUUGAGUGUCGGAAGGGAAAGUGGAAUUCCUAGUGUAGCGGUGAAAUGCGUAGAUAUUAGGAGGAACACCGGUGGCGAAGGCGACUUUCUGGACGACAACUGACGCUGAGACGCGAAAGCGUGGGGAGCAAAC
rnacentral:rRNA from 1 species